rnacentral:rRNA from 1 species
UACGUAGGCAGCGAGCGUUGUUCGGAGUUACUGGGCGUAAAGGGUGUGUAGGCGGCUUAUUAAGUUUGGUGUGAAAUCUCCCGGCUCAACCGGGAGGGUGCGCCGAAAACUGGGAGGCUAGAGUGCGGGAUGGGAGAGUGGAAUUCCUGGUGUAGCGGUGAAAUGCGUAGAUAUCAGGAGGAACACCGGUGGUGCAGACGGCUCUCUGGACCGUAACUGACGCUGAGACACGAAAGCGUGGGUAGCAAACAGG